CUGAGGGAGCGGCCGGCUGCCGCCUCGGCCGCCGCGGGGUCCAUGGCCUGAGCGGCCAUGUCCGGCGUGGUGCGGACCCUCAGCCGCUGCCUGCUGCCGGCCGAGGCCGGCGGGGCCCGCGAGCGCAGGGCGGGCGGCGGCGGGGCCCGCGACGCGGAGCGCGAGGCGCGGCGGCGCAGCCGGGACAUCGACGCGGGGCUGGCCCGCGAGCGGCGCGCCGUGCGGCGCCUCGUCAAGAUCCUGCUGCUGGGCGCGGGCGAGAGCGGCAAGUCCACCUUCCUCAAGCAGAUGCGCAUCAUCCACGGCCGCGAGUUCGACCAGAAGGCGCUGCUCGAGUUCCGCGACACCAUCUUCGACAACAUCCUUAAGGGCUCAAGGGUUCUGGUUGAUGCACGAGACAAGCUUGGUAUUCCUUGGCAGUAUUCCGAAAAUGAGAAGCACGGGAUGUUCCUCAUGGCCUUUGAGAACAAAGCGGGGCUGCCCGUGGAGCCUGCCACCUUUCAGCUGUACGUACCUGCUCUGAGCGCGCUCUGGAGGGAUUCUGGCAUCAGGGAAGCUUUCAGCCGGAGGAGCGAGUUUCAGCUGGGUGAAUCAGUGAAGUACUUCCUGGAUAACUUGGACCGGAUUGGCCAGCUGAAUUACUUUCCUAGCAAGCAGGACAUCCUGCUGGCAAGGAAGGCCACCAAGGGCAUCGUGGAGCAUGACUUUGUCAUCAAAAAAAUCCCUUUCAAGAUGGUGGAUGUGGGCGGCCAGCGGUCUCAGCGCCAGAAGUGGUUCCAGUGCUUUGAUGGGAUCACGUCGAUCCUGUUCAUGGUCUCGUCCAGUGAGUACGACCAGGUCCUCAUGGAAGACAGGCGCACCAACCGCCUGGUGGAGUCCAUGAACAUCUUUGAGACCAUCGUUAACAACAAGCUCUUCUUCAACGUCUCCAUCAUCCUGUUCCUCAACAAGAUGGACCUCCUGGUGGAGAAAGUAAAGACUGUCAGCAUCAAGAAGCACUUCCCAGACUUCAAGGGUGACCCCCACAGGCUGGAGGACGUCCAGCGCUACCUGGUCCAGUGUUUCGACCGGAAGAGACGGAAUCGCAGUAAGCCACUCUUCCACCACUUCACCACCGCCAUAGACACCGAGAACAUCCGCUUCGUGUUUCACGCUGUGAAGGACACCAUACUGCAAGAGAACCUGAAGGAUAUUAUGUUGCAGUGAAGGAGGACGCCCCUCACUCUUGUGGUCCUUCAGCAGACUCGCCGGCCACAGGCCAGAUCUCCCCGGUGUCCCGGAGCGGGUUUCCCGAAUCCGUGCCCUCAACACCUGGCUCAGGGAUGCCGUGAGGCCCGCCACGCUCUAGGCCAAAGGACGUGACACUUUGAUGUUAGCUACUGAAUCCUGGGGACUAGUGAAACUACUGAAAAUCCGAGCAAUCACUUUGGUAUUAAUGUGUAAUGCUUAAUAACACAGCUUUCUUUCUUUUUACAGAAACUAUUCCUUCUCUGACACAAUGUAAUCGAGGACUGCGUGUGUGUGCGCGCACACUCUGUCUUUAAUGACAGAAACACGAAAACCGACAUCUCUGCAGAUGGCUUUUCUCUCUAACUCGAGAGUGCUUGGAGCGCUGUCACUGAGUGGAUGCCUCUAGAACACGACUUCAGGACAAGGAACAGGGCAGAUACAUGUAAAGACACGUGUGUGUGUGAAGGAGGGAUCCUGCUGCCCUGAGACCUGGGGGCCCGAGGAGAGGACCUGGUGAUGGACGUGGACGUGGCCAGAGACAGGAGGCUGGGGCAAGCCCAAGGGAAGGCAAGGGUGGGAACUGUUUCUCCGCAACCCCGUGGGGUGACCGUCCCCAUCACAAAACGAAGAAACCUCUGAUGCAAAGUGCGAAUGAUUCCCAGCCGACGGAGCUCGUGGCGCUCAGGAUUCUCUUGUAGAAAAGGCACGUAUGUAUUGUCCAGUGGCCAUCACCCGAGUAGGCGUUGUGUGCGUCCACAUGUGGGGAAGGCAGAACUGCCCCCCCGCCCCCAGAGAAACUUGUACUCGUCAUUAUCCACGUGGCUGAGGGCUAAGGUCUUUGAGUUCCAGUUUCCCCAUUUGUAAAAGUUGGAUCAGAUCACGAUGCUCAGCUCUGGCGCCGCAGUCAGGUCACCUGAGGGGCUUUGCAGAGCCCUGGGCUGAGCCACCCAGAACCUGUGCAGUACAGGCAUCACAUGGACGCACUCCUGGUUUCCCAGGUGGUUGCUGUGCAGCCGGGGUCACAGGCCAUGGAGCAGAGGACCAUGGAGGACUCCCUCCAGGCCGCUGGAAUUGUGGUACACAACGUGCUGGCCCCCGAAUCCUCCCCUUGCUGUGACCUACGACCUGCCUCAGGAAGAAAGUGAUGCUGGGUUUUCUGUUGUGGUUUAAGUGAAGAGCAGAAGUUCCCACUAAGCCUUCAGCAGCAUGUCGGGUGGUCCUUUCAGGCCUUUGGACGCCACCUUCUCCGUAAGGUACAUCAGAUGCGCUCAGCAACCUCAUUCCUCAGGGAUGCCCGGAAGUUUAGAGAGCUCUGCUUGAAGGAAAGGACGAGCUCUUUAAAGUCUGCCUGGCGGCGCUAGGGAGAGGUGGGCCUUGCGUGUGGGAUCCCUGCGUUUCACGGACUCGGCAUUCGGGGCGGGCGCAGGCCCUGGUGCCAAGGUUGGUGCUGGGCCUGCAGCUGGCGGGGGGCUGAGAGCUCAGCCCCCCUGAGCAAGGGCUGCUUUACCGACUGCGUUUGUGAGGCGCCUGCUGGGCCCUGAAGAGGGUGGUGGCAGGUCCCCAGAGGAAGGAGCUGCUUGGUUAAGGCGGCUCAGAGACUGGCACUCGCUGUGUUGACAGCCCUUAACGGCAGGUGGCACGCGGUCCGUGCUGAGUUCAGGGAAGGGGAAGGCUCGCUGUGGGUGGAGGGGAGCCCCUGGGGCGUGGAGGGGCCACUCCGCUUCCUCGGUCCCACUCUUGGUGUGUGGUUCCUACCUUCUGCUGAAGGAGGACUUCACGGCGCGCGAGGCCCAGCUGUUCGUGUGGGCCCUCACUCUCCUGCCAGGUCCCGCCCUCCGGAACCUGCUGGAACUAGAGGCUGGGUGUUCGCUGGCGCACAGGAUGGCGCUGAACUAGGUGGUUUCGGUUUCCACACCAUGUUGGCACCUCUUCAGGUGAAAACCUACUUCAAAGCACAACAGGUUGCUACCUGCCAGAAGCACCCCCAGUGCCCGCCUCUCGCUGGAUGGCAUGGGAUGCGCCACACCCAGAGCGGCUCCUCGGUGUGGACCGCACACCUGCAGGGGUUCUGCUGACCGUGACGGUGGUCGUGAGCCCCUAGGAGAGCGGAGCGCUGCUCAGCGUGGGAACUUGCUACGCGAGGCUCCCGCCCCAGGUCACCGCAGGAAGGAGCGGGAUGUUGCCAGCCCGAGUGAGUUCUCAAGCAUCCUAGCGGGAUGGAUGUUCCCGGGAAUCGGCGUCUGAGUACAGCAAGAGGUAGGAAAUGGGGUGGAACUCAGAAACAGACCGUGAGAUUCCUGCCCCAAACGCAGAACUCGUAGGGCAGCAGGCCCUCCCCGGCAGCCUGCGAUUAGGGUGUGGAGUAGCUGAGAACAGGCAGGAACUGCUCUUGUAUCCCACCCGACCUAUGACGCCUCCCUCCUCCUCAGAUCCAGCGAGGACCUUGGCACGUCGCUGUGAGGUGCUUGUUAUAGGGACCCGAAGACUGUUGCUGUAAACGCGGCCCCGUGGCUCG